GACGAACGCUGGCGGCGUGCUUAACACAUGCAAGUCGAACGGAAAGGCCCUGCUUUUGUGGGGUGCUCGAGUGGCGAACGGGUGAGUAACACGUGAGUAACCUGCCCUUGACUUUGGGAUAACUUCAGGAAACUGGGGCUAAUACCGGAUAGGAGCUCCUGCUGCAAGGUGGGGGUUGGAAAGUUUCGGCGGUUGGGGGUGGACUCGCGGCUUAUCAGCUUGUUGGUGGGGUAGUGGCUUACCAAGGCUUUGACGGGUAGCCGGCCUGAGAGGGUGACCGGCCACAUUGGGACUGAGAUACGGCCCAGACUCCUACGGGAGGCAGCAGUGGGGAAUAUUGCACAAUGGGCGGAAGCCUGAUGCAGCAACGCCGCGUGCGGGAUGACGGCCUUCGGGUUGUAAACCGCUUUCGCCUGUGACGAAGCGUGAGUGACGGUAAUGGGUAAAGAAGCACCGGCUAACUACGUG
rnacentral:rRNA from 1 species